AAUAGGAAAUUUAAGGGCGUAUGGUGGAUGCCUAGGUUCUAAAAGACGAUGAAGGACGUAGCUUGGCUGCGAUAAGCUUCGGGGAGGUGCCCAGCAACCUUUGAUCCGGAGAUUUCCGAAUGGGGAAACCCUCUUCGCAUUAUGCGGAGAAUGCAGGACUAGACGCCUGCAAGUGCACCCAGGGAAGUAAAACAUUUCAGUACCUGGAGGAAAAGAAAACAACCCCGCUUUCGGGCGGGGAAUAUUUCCUUAGUAGUGGCGAGCGAAAGGGAAAGAGCCCAAACCCAGCCCUACUCUCAAUGCGUGAUUAUUAUGGUAAUCGUGAAUUGAGAGUAGAGCUGGGGGUUGUAAGGCAGUAACUUCGUUUUUAAAACGAGAAGAGUCAAAAAAUUUUUUAUUAAUUGAAUGUGCUGGAAAGCACAAUCCUAGAGGGUAAUAAUCCCGUAAAUGAAAAUAAAAAAUCUCUUUUGUUACUGUUCUUGAGUACCUCGAGACACGAAUGGCUCGGGGGAAUCUGCCGGAACUAACCGGUAAGGCUAAAUACUUUUAGAGACCGAUAGUGAACAAGUACCGUGAGGGAAAGGUGAAAAGUAGCCCGAUGAGGGCGGUGAAAUAGACCUGAAACCAUAUGUCUACAAGGAGUCGGAGCGGGCAUCACAUUGCGUGUGAUGACAGCUUGUCAGCGAUCAGCCGUCAGUUAUCAGGAAAAUUCUGAUAAGCUGAAAGCUAUAAACUGAAAGCUGGACAUCGUGCGUAGCGUGAUGUCCGCCACGGCGUGCCUAUUGAAGAAUGAGCCAACGAGUUCUAGCAUGCUGCGUGGUUAAUCCGUUUAGGCGGAGGAGCCGUAGGGAAACCGAGUGUUAAUAGCGCGCAAGUAGUAUGUUAGAGACCCGAAGCCAGGUGAGCUUGCCAUGAGCAGGGUGAACCCACGCGAAAGCGUGGGGGAAGCCCGAACCGUUGAGCCGUGCAAUACUCUCGGAUGACUUGUGGUAAGGAGUGAAAAGCUAAUCGAACCUGGUAAUAGCUGGUUCUCUCCGAAAGAGCUUUUGGGUUCGCGUCGCGUGUUCCCUCUAGGGGUAGAGCACUGGAAGGUUUAGACAGGGAGAAAUCUCGCUAAACCUAUCAAACUCCGAAUACUAGAGGUUAGAGCGUGGCAGUUAGACUGCGGGGGCUAAGCUCCGUCGGUCAAAAGGGAAACAGCCCAGAUCUCUAUUUAAGGUCCCUAAAUCAUAGCUAAGUGCACUUAAGGUGGUGAAGUUUCCUCGACACUGAGGAGGUUGGCUUAGAAGCAGCCAUCCUUUAAAGAAAGCGUAACAGCUCACUCAGUAAGAGACUCUGCGCCGCAGAUAAUCGGGGCUAAAGCUAUGUACCGAAACUGAGGAUUUUUGUCGUGUUCGCACGGCAGAAGUGGUAGGAGAGUAUUCGUAUCUGCUGUGAAGGUGAAGGGGUAACCCACACUGGAGUGAUGCGAAGUAAGAAUGUUGGCACAAGUAACCGCAAUGGGAGUGAGAAUCUCCCACGCCGAAAGAACAAGGUUUCCUUGGCGAUGUAGAUCAGCCAAGGGUUAGUCGGGCCUAAGGUAAUGGCGAAAGCCGCAGCCGAUGGACACAUGGUUAAUAUUCCAUGACCUUGAUGUGUUUCGAUGGAGUGACGGAGAUUAGUAGUCUUUGCGAUUUAUUGGAUUAUCGUUCUUGGUCAGAGGGUGUUUCCCAGGAAAAUCCGGGAGACUUAAGCCCCAAGACAGAGAAAAGUUAUGCCUUCGGGUAUGGCAAUUAAGACGAGCAGUCUUCCAAGAAAAACUUCUAAGAUUAAGCACAUUGAGACCGUACCAAAAACCAACACAGGUGUUCAGCUCGAGUAGAGUAAGGCGAACGAGUGAGAAAUCCCCAAGGAACUCGGCAAAAAAGCAGCCGUAACUUCGGAAUAAGGCUUCCCCGUGGAAUAAAGAAUCGGAAUGUAGGUGGUGUGUGUUGAGUCAUUAUUGGACUUGAUUAUCAUAUCUACCUGUCGGAUUUUUUAUUCCACGGGGCGCAGCUAAAGUAUCUCUGGCAACUGUUUAUCAAAAACACAGCUCCCUGCGAACUCGCAAGAGGAUGUAUAGGGGGUGACACCUGACCGAUGCCAGAAGGUCAAACGUUGGGGGUCCAUAUGUCUUCGGAUAUGUGGGCUGACUGAUGUAAGCCCUGGUGAAUGUCGGCCGUAACUAUAGACAUGACCGUUGUAGUUACGUUAAAAAAUCUUGCUAUAUGCUGGAAAACCCGCUCCAUUAAAACAAAAGAUGGAGAAAAAGUAACAUAUAUUACGAGCACAUGUCGAUGUGUCGUGACAAUAUAUAUGUGCGGAUAAUCAGCAGGAAAGACUUCUGAUCUAACAAAAUAUGUUGAAAAAAAUUCCUGUUGAUAUAGGAAACUAUAUUACGGGGUUUGUAGACGGAGAAGGAAGCUUCAAUGUCUCAAUCAAAAAAAGGUUAGAUUAUAAAGAAAGUUGGAAAUUGACCGCUAGUUUCAAUAUUUCCCAAAAGGAUAGGGUUAUCCUAGCUUGGAUAAAACACAUUUUGGGAUGUGGAACACUGCGGGAGAGAAAAGACGGCGUCGUGUACUACGAAGUAACAAAUAUUACUUCGCUUCAUGAUGUCGUGGUUCCAUUUUUCAGAACGUAUGGGUUUCGCUCUGCGUACAAAAAAAAUAAUUUCAGGAUUUUUUCUGAAAUAGUUUCAAUUAUGUAUUCAGGGAAACACAAUACGAAAGAGGAGUUUCAGAAAGUACUGGAGUUAAGAGAAAAACUUAAUCCAGGAAUUGGAAGAAAACGAAAAUACACAUUAUCCAAUGUAGUAACCUCAGAAGAAUCCUCAGAGACUAUACGCAAGACGGUUUCAAAUCAAUAAUUGGAGUCGACGAUUUGGAAACGAUGAUAUAGUCCGAUCUUAUUGGUAACAAUAAGCUAACACGUGAGAAAUAAAUUGAUAAAUAUUUGAAUGACAUCAUUACACAAAAAUAACUAUCUAUAUGAACGGUCCUAAGGUAGCGAAAUUCCUUGUCAGGUAAGUUCUGACGCGCACGAAUGGUGUAAUGACUGGAGAACUGUCUCGGGGAUCUGCUCGGUGAAAAUACAAUACCGGUGAAGAUGCCGGUUACCUGCAGUUAGACGAAAAGACCCCAGGAGCUUUACUACAACUUGAUAUUGAGAAUAUGUUUUGCAUGCGUAGCAUAGGUGGGAGACUUUGAAGCGGCAUUUUCGGAUGUUGUGGAGUCGUCAGUGAAAUACCACUCUUGUCGGAUGUGUUUUCUAACCCCGCCGGCAAAAACGGCGAGAAACAGUAUCUGGUGGGUAGUUUGAGUGGGGCGCUCUCCUCCUAAAAAGUAACGGAGGAGUCUAUUAAGGUCAGCUAGGCGCGAAUGGAAACCGUGCCGAUAGUGUAUAGGCAUAAGCUGGCUUAACUGUAAGGCGUACAUGCCGAGCAGAUGCGAAAGCAGAGCUAAGUGAACCGAUGGUUCGCGUUAGACGCGGCCAAGGAUUAUCGGAUAAAAGCUACCCUGGGGAUAACAGGCUGGUUGCGCCUAAGCGUCCAUAGCGACGGCGCAGUNNNNNNNNNNNNNNNNNUAACUUUCAAUGUAAAAAUUGAGAAACAUCGGGGUGCCUAUGGGAGUAAUUCCAUACAAAAACAAUUUGGCUUAUAACGGUGAACUCCAUAUACAAGCGUUAUAUCAGUGAUGAUAUAAUUAACACAAUAUGGACAAUACCGUGGGAAGUCUAACUCAAUUACAGAAGUCAUUUGUCAUUGGAACCCUUUUGGGAGAUGGAUACAUCCGUCAAGUAAAAGGGAGAAAAGACGCAUUUCUUGAGAUAAACCAUUCAAUAACUCAAAAAGAAUAUGUUGAAUGGAAAUAUAAAAUCUUAAAAAAUCUGACGCGGAGUGGUCCAAAGUCCAGAUGUGGAAAUGGAACACGAAUCGCUUUUAGAUUUUUUACAAAACAACACCCCGAAUUUACAAAAAUGAGGGAUUUGUUUUACAAGAAUAAAAAGAAAUGUAUUCCUAAUCUAAAAUUAGAUCCAUUGACAGUGGCGGUAUGGUAUAUGGAUGAUGGAAGUAAAUGUAGCAAAGAAAAUGUUUAUCUUAAUACCCAGCAAUUUUCUAAAGAAGAUCAAUACAAAUUAUUGAGAUUCUUGCGAGAAGUUGGUUUGGAUGGAACUCUAAAUAGGGACAAAGAGUAUUAUCGUAUUAGAUUUAAAACAUCGAGUAUUUCUAAAUUAUUUAGAAUGAUAAAUGAUUUUAUCAUUCCAUCCAUGAAAUACAAAAUUGAGUUAUGACCCCGUAGAGACUUGACCUUAAAUGGUCGGAGUAUGAAGGAAAAUUUCAUGCUAACACGCCGAACUCCUUUUCAUUUAGAGAAAAGGAUGAAGAUAUAGUCCGAUCCUUCUAGCAAUAGGAGAAAAAUAUGACAGCGAUGUCGGCUCAACUUAUCCUGGGGGUGAAGAAGCUCCCAAGGGUUUGGCUGUUCGCCAAUUAAAAAGUUACGCGAGCUGGGUUCAGACCGUUUAGUAGCUAUCAGGGAAAGAGCUUUUAGCUUUCGGUAAAUGUAAAUAUAUUUUCUGAAAUCUGAAAGCCGAUAACUGAAAGCUGUUAGACCGUCUGAAUCCGCUCUUUAAUGACAUAAUCGGGCUUUUUCGUUUAUAAAUAAAAAUAAAAUAGAUAGAACCCCGCUAUUGCGUAAAGCUAUGGUGGGCGAGACAAUCAACCACGGCGGCGUAUUGUAGAAAUGCAGUAUGGCAAGCUGACUAAUAUCGGUGAAAUCCUGAGCGCAAGCGAAGGACAAUACCGAGGGAACUAACAGUUAUCAGUGAAAAGUUUUCAGCUUUCAGAAAAUGCAAGCGCAUUACUGAAUCCUGAAAGCUGGCAUCUGAAAUCUAAUAUGGCCCGUAGAGACUAAAUGUCAGCAGUCCUUCGUAUGCUACGCAUACUCGGGACGAAGCUAUAGUCCGAUCCUCUGUGGCAACACAGAGAGACAAAUAGAAAUAAUUUGUCCCCGUAAUUAUUCUGCGUAGUUUUGCGUCAAUUUGGCGUAGUUCUGCGCUUGUUGCGGAGUAACAAGAUGCGUGAGACAGGUUGGUCUCCUAUCUACUGCAGGCGUUGAUUCUUGAGGGGGUUUGCUCCUAGUACGAGAGGACCGGAGUGAACGAACCUCUGGUCUAUCUGCUGUUCCUGCCAAGGGCAUCGCAGAGUAGCUAAGUUCGGUUUGGAUAACCUCUGAAAGCAUCUAAGAGGGAAGCCAGCCCCAAGAUUAGGAAUCGUUUAGGUCCGUGGAAGAUGACCACGUUGAUAGGCUCUAGGUGUAAGCACAGUAAUGUGUUGAGCCGAGGAGUACUAAUUGACCGAUU
rnacentral:rRNA from 1 species